UGCUUUAGAACUCCGAUCUCAAACCUCCUCGUGGUGCUGGCUGGAGGAUAAUUGUUGCACAUUUUACACAACAAUUAUUCACUGAUUGAGACGG
rfam:Anopheles stephensi strain SDA-500 unplaced genomic scaffold supercont1.615, whole genome shotgun sequence.